CCUGUAUCCAGUCAGGAGUUUGCACAGGUGCUGCAUGGCUGUCGUCAGCUCGUGCCGUGAGGUGUUAGGUUAAGUCCUGCAACGAGCGCAACCCUCGUCGCUAGUGUUUUCUCUAGCGAUACUGCCCGUAUAACGUGGAGGAAGGUGGGGAUGACGUCAAGUCAGCAUGGCCCUUACAUCCUGGGCUACACACACGCUACAAUGGGUGAUACAACAGGUUGCAAUAGAGUAAUCUGGAGCCAAUCCCUAAAAUCAUCCUCAGUACGGAUUGCAGGCUGCAACUGCCUGCAUGAAGUUGGAGUUGCUAGUAAACGCAGGUCAGCACACUGCGUUGAAUACGUUCUCGGGCCUU
rnacentral:rRNA from 1 species